CUGCUCAGUAACACGUGGAUAACCUACCCUUAGGACCGGAAUAACCCCGGGAAACUGGGGAUAAUACCGGAUAAGCCAUAGACGCUGGAAUGCCCUAUGGUUCAAAGCUCCGGCGCCUAAGGAUGGAUCUGCGGUCUAUCAGGUUGUAGUGGGUGUAACGUACCUACUAGCCGACGACGGAUACGGGUUGUGAGAGCAAGAGCCCGGAGAUGGAUUCUGAGACACGAAUCCAGGCCCUACGGGGUGCAGCAGGCGCGAACACCUUACGAUGCGGGAAACCGCGAUAAGGGAACCCCGAGUGCCAGCAUCAAAUGUUGGCUGUCCGGAUGAAUAAAAAUCAUUUGUUAGCAAGGGCCGGGCAAGACCGGUGCCAGCCGCCGCGGUAACACCGGCGGCCCGAGUGGUAGCCGUUUUUAUUGGGUCUAAAGGGUCCGUAGCCGGCUUGAUAAGUCCUUUGGGAAAUCUGGCAGCUUAACUGUCUGGCUUCUAAGGGAUACUGUCAGGCUUGGGACCGGAAGAGGUAAGGGGUACUCCAGGGGUAGGAGUGAAAUCUUGUAAUCCCUGGGGGACCAUCUGUGGCGAAGGCGCCUUACCAGAACGGGUCCGACGGUGGGGGACGAAAGCUAGGGGAGCAAACCGGAUUAGAUACCCGGGUAGUCCUACUGUAACGAUGCUCGCUAGGUGUCAAACACGGUGCGACCGUGUUUGGUGCC
rnacentral:rRNA from 1 species